GCCCGAGGAGACGCCAAGGCCCAGGAAGCGCUGAGAGCGAGAGACGGCCGCCAGCACGUUGUCACCUCUCACAGUGACCUUGGCAGAUGCGGGGAUGCUGACGAAAAUUGUACAAGAGAAUUUAUGAACAAAAACAAAAGAGACAAAUGGCGAAAAAUAUUUGAAGUACUUUUUCUUGGGCUGGCUCUUCUCCAAAUGACAACUGAUAAUUAGGUAAGUAAA
rnacentral:lncRNA from 1 species